GUGGUCCCUUCAGCAGCAUAUAUACUAAAAUUGUAACGAUACAGAGAAAAUUAGCAUAACUCAGCACAAGGAUGACUUGCAGAUACGUGAAGCGUUCCAUAUUUAG